rnacentral:rRNA from 1 species
GAAACGACUGCUAAGACUGGAUAGGAGAUAAGAAGGCAUCUUCUUAUUUUUAAAAGACCUAGUAAUAGGUAUGCUUAAGGAGGGGCUUGCGUCACAUUAGUUAGUUGGUAGGGUAAAGGCCUACCAAGACGAUGAUGUGUAGCCGGGCUGAGAGGCUGAACGGCCACAUUGGAAUUGAGACACGGUCCAAACUCCUACGGGAGGCAGCAGUAGGGAAUUUUCGGCAAUGGAGGAAACUCUGACCGAGCAACGCCGCGUGAACGAUGAAGUAUUUCGGUACGUAAAGUUCUUUUAUUAAGGAAGAAAAGAUGGUGGAAAAACCAUUAUGACGGUACUUAAUGAAUAAGCCCCGGCUAACUAUGUGCCAGCAGCCGCGGUAAUACAUAGGGGGCGAGCGUUAUCCGGAAUUAUUGGGCGUAAAGGGUGCGUAGGCGGUUUAAUAAGUUUAUGGUCUAAGUGCAAUGCUUAACAUUGUGAUGCUAUAAAAACUGUUUGACUAGAGUUGGAUAGAGGCAAGUGGAAUUCCAUGUGUAGUGGUAAAAUGCGUAAAUAUAUGGAGGAACACCAUGAGCGAAGGCGGCUUGCUGGGUCUUAACUGACGCUGAGGCACGAAAGCGUGGGGAGCAAACAGGAUUAGAUACCCUGGUAGUCCACGCUGUAAACGAUGAGUACUAGACGUUGGGUUAAACCAGUGUCGAAGUUAACACAUUAAGUACUCCGCCUGAGUAGUACGUACGCAAGUAUGAAACUUAAAGGAAUUGACGGGACUCCGCACAAGCGGUGGAUCAUGUUGUUUAAUUCGAAGAUACCCGAAAAACCUCACCAGGUCUUGACAUGCUUCUGCAAAGCUGUAGAAAUAUAGUAGAGGUUAUCAGUUGUACAGGUGGUGCAUGGUUGUCGUCAGCUCGUGUCGUGAGAUGUUGGGUUAAGUCCCGCAACGAGCGCAACCCUUGUUGUUAAUUGCCAUCAUUAAGUUGGGGACUUUAGCAAGACUGCCAGUGAUAAAUUGGAGGAAGGUGAGGAUGACGUCAAAUCAUCAUGCCCCUUAUGACCUGGGCUACAAACGUGAUACAAUGGCUGUUACAAAGGGUAGCUGAAGCGCAAGUUUUUGGCAAAUCUCAAAAAAACAGUCUCAGUUCGGAUUGAAGUCUGCAACUCGACUUCAUGAAGUUGGAAUCGCUAGUAAUCGCGAAUCAGCAUGUCGCGGUGAAUACGUUCUCGGGGUUUGUACACACCGCCCGUCA